CGUCAAUUCUAAGAAAUAUCCGUAUUUGUAUAACAACAUUUUUGUAUCAAAUGAUUAAUGGUGUUGAUAUAAAACGUAUUUAUAUGAGAGUAUUAUCCUAUAGGUAGGAGAAAAUAAAACGUGCUUUAAAUACAAAGUUCACCAUAUAUAUUUUUUUACGGUAGAGGAUAUAAUUUUUAAAAUGAACACAUACAACAAGACAUGCACAUGAAAAAGUGGGGGAAAACAUGCAACAAAAGCGCGAUUAAAUGACAC
rnacentral:lncRNA from 1 species